ACGCUGGCGGCACGCCUAAUACAUGCAAGUCGAACGAAGUAGCAAUACUUAGUGGCAGACGGGUGAGUAACAUGUGGGUAUCUUCCCUUUGGUGAGGAAUAACACGAGGAAACUUGUGCUAAUACCUCAUAAGUCUUUACGGAGAAAGCUUUAUGCGCCAAUGGAUGAGCCCGCACUUGAUUAGUUUGUUGGUGGGGUAAUGGCCUACCAAGACAAUGAUCAAUAGCUGAUUUGAGAGGAUGAUCAGCCACAUUGGGACUGAGACACGGCCCAAACUUCUACGGAAGGCAGCAGUAGGGAAUCUUGCACAAUGGAGGAAACUCUGAUGCAGCGAUGCCGCGUGAGUGAAGAAGGCCUUUGGGUUGUAAAGCUCUUUCGUCGGGGAAGAAAAUGACUGUACCCGAAUAAGAAGGUCCGGCUAACUUCGUGCCAGCAGCCGCGGUAAUACGAAGGGACCUAGCGUAGUUCGGAAUUACUGGGCUUAAAGAGUUCGUAGGUGGUUAAAAAAGUUGGUGGUGAAAUCCCAGAGCUUAACUCUGGAACUGCCAUCAAAACUUUUUAGCUAGAGUAUGAUAGAGGAAAGCAGAAUUUCUAGUGUAGAGGUGAAAUUCGUAGAUAUUAGAAAGAAUACCAAUUGCGAAGGCAGCUUUCUGGAUCAUUACUGACACUGAGGAACGAAAGCAUGGGUAGCGAAGAGGAUUAGAUACCCUCGUAGUCCAUGCCGUAAACGAUGUGUGUUAGACGUUGGAAAUUUAUUUUCAGUGUCGCAGCGAAAGCAAUAAACACACCGCCUGGGGAGUA
rnacentral:rRNA from 1 species